GAAGACUUCAAUAUGUCAGAUAACUCACAUUCUUCACGUACUUAUGUGUAUCUUAAUUGUAUGGCGUAUAUCAUUUUAGUGAAGAUUAUAUUAAUGAUUUCUUUAUCAUGUGUUCCUUAGGAAAAAAAAAGAGUGUUCAGAAAGUGGACACACAAAACGGCGUACAAUUGCUUUCCUUUUAAAUUGCCAACAUUGAAAGAGUGAUGAGAAAUUACAGAUAUUUGAAGUUGAAAUUUGCUAGAAAUUGUUUUCAAAUCAGGACAGGUAUGAUGAGCUUUUAGAUAACGAUGGUGAUAAUUGUGUUAGCACAAAUUUUGGAUCUCUUAUGAAUACUGGUGAUAUUGAGGUAGAGUUUGAAGCAGUUAUUAUCUACAGAGAAAAAAAUACUGUGCAAUCAAUUCUCGGUUUUCUCAUUAAAAAGAAAUGGAUGCUCAAACAACAGAUAAAUAUGUAUGUACAAUCAAUGGUUCUCGAAGAAUGGUUAGAUUCUUUUUUGGAUGCUCAAUGUGAAUGGAACGUUGCCUUUGUUUCUACAUAAAUACUGUUACCUCCAUCACAAUUGUAAAUACAUAUUUCGUUUAUUAUAGUACUUUGAAGUAUACUCGGAUAGUUAUGUAUUUCUAGUAUUUAUUAAUAACAUGAUUGUACAACAAAUAUAAACAUCUUCUGCAAAUUCU